GGAGAGGUGGCUGAGCGGUUGAAAGCGGCUCCCUGCUAAGGAGUUAUAGGGGUAACUCUAUCGGGGGUUCGAAUCCCCCCCUCUCCG
rnacentral:tRNA from 1 species